ACGGAAGGCAGCAGUGGGGAAUAUUGCACAAUGGGGGAAACCCUGAUGCAGCAACGCCGCGUGAGUGAUGACGGUCUUCGGAUUGUAAAGCUCUGUCUUUAGGGACGAUAAUGACGGUACCUAAGGAGGAAGCCACGGCUAACUACGUGCCAGCAGCCGCGGUAAUACGUAGGUGGCAAGCGUUGUCCGGAUUUACUGGGCGUAAAGGGGGCGUAGGUGGAUAUUUAAGUGGGAUGUGAAAUACCCGGGCUUAACCUGGGUGCUGCAUUCCAAACUGGAUAUCUAGAGUGCAGGAGAGGAAAGGAGAAUUCCUAGUGUAGCGGUGAAAUGCGUAGAGAUUAGGAAGAAUACCAGUGGCGAAGGCGCCUUUCUGGACUGUAACUGACACUGAGGCUCGAAAGCGUGGGGAGCAAACAGGAUUAGAUACCCUGGUA
rnacentral:rRNA from 1 species